rnacentral:rRNA from 1 species
AUACGAAGGGUGCAAGCGUUAAUCGGAAUUACUGGGUGUAAAGCGCGCGUAGGUGGUUUUGUAAGUUGGAGGUGAAAGCCCCGGGCUCAACCUGAGAAUUGCCUCCAAAACUGCAUGACUAGAGUACGGUAGAGGGUAGUGGAAUUUCCUGUGUAGCGGUGAAAUGCGUAGAUAUAGGAAGGAACACCAGUGGCGAAGGCGACUACCUGGACUGAUACCGACACUGAGGUGCGAAAGCGUGGGGAGCAAACAGGAUUAGAUCCCCUGGUAGUCCACGCCGUAAACGAUGUCAACUAGCCGUUGGGAUCCUUGAGAUCUUAGUGGCGCAGCUAACGCAUUAAGUUGACCGCCUGGGGAGUACGGCCGCAAGGUUAAAACUCAAAGGAAUCGACGGGG